rnacentral:rRNA from 1 species
UAGGGAAUCUUCCGCAAUGGACGCAAGUCUGACGGAGCAACGCCGCGUGAGUGAAGAAGGUUUUCGGAUCGUAAAACUCUGUUGUUAGAGAAGAACAAGUGCUAGAGUAACUGUUAGCGCCUUGACGGUAUCUAACCAGAAAGCCACGGCUAACUACGUGCCAGCAGCCGCGGUAAUACGUAGGUGGCAAGCGUUGUCCGGAUUUAUUGGGCGUAAAGCGAGCGCAGGCGGUUCCUUAAGUCUGAUGUGAAAGCCCCCGGCUCAACCGGGGAGGGUCAUUGGAAACUGGGGAACUUGAGUGCAGAAGAGGAGAGUGGAAUUCCAUGUGUAGCGGUGAAAUGCGUAGAUAUAUGGAGGAACACCAGUGGCGAAGGCGACUCUCUGGUCUGUAACUGACGCUGAGGCUCGAAAGCGUGGGUAGCAAACAGGAUUAGAUACCCUGGUAGUCCACGCCGUAAACGAUGAGUGCUAAGUGUUGGAGGGUUUCCGCCCUUCAGUGCUACAGUUAACGCAUUAAGCACUCCGCCUGGGGAGUACGACCGCAAGGUUG